ACUAUGUAAAGCAGGUUUUGGGGGAAAUUGUGGGGGAAAAUGUGUCAAAUCUACUGUAGGUAAUUCAGACUUUCUAUCCAGAGUUCCAAGUUUAUCACACAUUGUUUUUCGGAUAAUUGUUCUCUCAAUAGUCUCAAAAUCAUGGUUGUAAUAACUUUCUAUGGGGCCAUCCCAAAUGGCAUCCUAUUCCCUAUUUAGUGCACUACUUUUGUUCAGUGUCCAUAAGGAAUUAGGGUGCCAUAUAGGGAAUACAGUGCCAUUUUGGACACAAACUAUAUCAGUGUGGUCCUGUAUUUGAAUACAUACAGUACAGCACUGAAUUUAAUGAUCUAAUGAGAAAAGGUACUGUAUACCCUGUAGGGAAGAGUGGGGUAAGCUGACCCAUUUUUUUACAUUCAGCAUCACCCGUCAAGGGAAAUAUAGUAUUCUUUCUAACAAAAAUAUCUAUACUGAACAAAAAUAUAAACACAACAUGCAACAAUUUCAACGAUUUUAACGAGUUACAGUUCAUAUAAGGACAUCAAUCAAUUGAAAUGAAUUCAUUAGGCCCUAAUCUAUGGAUUUUCAACACUGGGCAGGGCAGCCCACCCACUGGGGAGCCAAGCUCAGCCAAUCAGAAUGAGUUUUUCCCCACAAAAGGGCUUUAUUACAGACAAAAAUACUCCUCAUUUUCAUUACCUGUCCGGGUGGCUGGUCUCAGACAAUCCCGCAGGUGAAGAAGCCAGAUGUGGAGGUCCUAGGCUGGCGUGGUAACACAUGGUCUGCUGUUGUGAGGUUGGUUCGACAUCCUGCCAAAUUCUCUAAAACAACAUUGGAAGUGGCUUAUGGUAGAGAAAUUAAUCUAACAACAGCUCUGGUGGACAUUCCUGCAGUCAGCAUGCCAAUUGCACGCUCCAUCAAAACUGCCACAGAGACAUCUGUGGCAUUGUGUUGUGUGAAAAAACUGCACAUUUUAGAGUGGCCUUUUAUUGUCCCCAGCACAAGGUGUACCUGUGUAAUAAUCAUGCUGUUUAAUCAGCUUCUUGAUAUGCCACACCUGUCAGGUGGAUGGAUUAUCUUGGCAAAGGAGAAAUGCUCACAAACAGAGAUGUAAACAAAUUUGUGUACAAAAUCUGAGAGAAAUAAGCUUUUUGUGCGUAUGGAACAUUUCUAUGAUCUUUUAUUUCAGCUCACGGGACCAACAAUUUACAUGUUGCGUUUAUAUUUUUGUUCAGUAUACAUAUAUUUCAGGAUGUUGUGUAUCCCUGGAAAUAAUCAGAAUUCAUGUCAACAUUACAGUUUUGAAAAACAUAGCUUGUCCACAAAACGUGGCACAACUUACCCCUACAAAUUUCUGCACUGAAAGAAAUAUUACCACUACCUUUUUAUUUCCCAAAUCGCAGAGAUAAUUGCCUUGCAUUAGGCCUGGGAAGAAAACAUUUCAAUUUGCUCAACUUGCCAUUGGCUCAACCAUUUGCUCAACUUACCCCAUGGAAAACAUUUAGACUUUAUUAGCCCACACAGCUACGUACAAGGAUGCACUUUCACGCUAGGUUUAGGACCUCAUAUUGAAGCUUAUAGACACUCCAACUGAUGUAUAGACAAAUCUUUAAAAUGAUCGACUUUGGUUUAGUUACAACUAUCAUGAAACCUCUUAACUCUUAAAACACAAUAAAUUAAUAUGACUUGGUGAAAAUCUGUUUUUUUGUAUCUAACUUGCUUGCCACUUUUUCCAUGUGGUUUCUUCCUUCACAGACUUCAUGAAAUGAUGAUCUCUUCCCAAAUAUUUGGUCAAAUGAUUAAUUUUGUGUGUGGUUUCCUAGAGACAAGGGUGGCUCAACUUACCACACUCUCCCCUAGUGAGUUGAUUUUAAAGACAGCUGGUCUGCAAUGUACAGUUUAUAGCAGCUCUGGAUGGAUCCACUAGGCACAAACAGCAUAGAUAGUCUGUUCUAUGUACUGUACUUCUAUGUUCUGUGUCUGUAUCUGUUCAGCAUGGUCAGGGAUUUCUUUGGUCAGUGAUUCUUAGUGGUAAAAACUCAUAGCUAUGUCUAUGUCUGCGUCCCAAAAGGCACCAUGCCAUUCUGGGCACACUCUAUUUCUCUACAGGGCUACAAGGUGACUGAUCUGUACUAAAUGUCCUCCAAAGGUUUUACAUCAUAUUUUGUAUCGUAUGAUAAAAACAUUCUUAAUGAUCCAUGAAGAUGAGUGUGUCCCAAUUCCCUUUAUUGUUCACUACUUUUAUAGUGCACUACUCUUGACCAGCGGAGCCCUCGUCAAAUGUAUUGUGCGAUAUUGAGAAUUGGGCACAAUUUGGGACUGCAGAAUAUGUUUUAUCACAAUGCAGUUAAAGGGAAACCAACUAUGAGCUACUACGAUCUAAGUCACGGAUUUUAGAGAUAUUAUCGUUACAACAUUACAGAAAUAUGUAUUUAUUUGAUCACAUAUUCCAUAGGGAUUGCCAAUAAUGAAGAUCUAAUAUUUGUUUCCCCUCUACAGAUAAUGUUCUAUUUAGCCACAAACCCCAUAAAAUAUGUUAGACAUGGUUGCCACGUUUACACUGAAAUGAUGCAUAAAGGGAAGGUAUAGACCAUGCCCUUGUCAAUGGAAGCCCCAGUCAUAAUACAAAGAUAACAUACAAUGACCUCCAUACUGUAUCGAUAGAUGCUGAAUACAUAUACCCACUGCUUUAUAAACUUCAGAUGUAUAUAUUGUUUGCUGUUUUAUUUUUUAAAAACAUAAACGCUAUGCAACUUACAAUAUCAUACUGCUAAAGUAGUAUUGAAUACCAAUAUUUCUUUAUAUUUUAAUAUGCUUAUGUUUUGCUGAUUUUAUAUCUUGAUUUUAAAUCAUGUUACUACCAUCACCAUUAUGAUUUCAGGAUUUUGUUGAAUGCAUUUAAUGCCUGUGUGAGUGUAUACACACACACACACACACACACACACACACACACACACACACACACACACACACACAUCUAUAUACACAGAAACAUGUACUGUACCAGUAAAAAGUUUGGAGACAACUACUCAUUCCUGGGUUUUUCUUUAUUUUUACUAUUUUCUACUUUGUAGAAUAAUAGUGAAGACAUCAGGACUAUGAAAUAACACAUAUGGAAUAAUGUAGUAACCAAAAAAGUGUUAAACAAAUCUGGAAAAUUUCAACAACUUUGAAAGUUUCUCCAAGUUCAGUCGCAAAAACCAUCAAGCGCUAUGAUGAAACUGGCUCUCAUGAGGGCCGCCACGGGAAUGGAAGACCCAGAGUUACCUCUGCUGCAGAGGAUAAGUUCAUUAGAGUUACCCCUCAGAGAUUGCAGCCCAAAUAAAUGCCUCACAGAGUUCAAGUAACAGACACAUCUCAACAUCAACUGUUCAGGGGAGACUGCAUAAAUCAGGCUUAGUGGGACUAUCAUUUGUUUUUCAACAGGACAAUGACCCAACACACCUACAGGCUAUGUAAGGUCUAUUUGACCAAGAAGGAGAGUGAUGGAGUGCUGCAUCAGAGCACCUGGCCUCCACAAUCACCCGACCUCAACCCAUUUGAGAUGGUUUGGGAUGAGUCGGACUGCAAAGUGAAGGAAAAGCAGUGCUCAGAAUAUGUGGGAACUCCUUCAAAACUGUUGGAAAAGCAUUCCAGGUGAAGCUGGUUGAGAGAAUGCCAAGAGUGUGCAAAGCUGUCAUCGAGGCAAAGGGUGGCUACUUUGAAGAAUCUCAAAUAUAAAAUAUAUUUUGAUUUGUUUAACACUUUUUUGGUUACUACAUGAUUCCAUAUGUGUUAUUUCAUAGUGUUGAUGUCUUCACUAUUAUUCUACAAUGUAGAAAAUAGUCCAAAUAAAGAAAAACUCUUGAAUUAGUUGGUUUGUCCAAACUUUUGACUGGUACUGUAUAUAUACACACAUAUGUAUUGCAAAUAAAUAUACCGUUUGGAUGUUUUGGGAAUUGUCAAUGUUAAAGGCAUAUGUGCUGUAAGUAUUUGUAACAUAGACCUAAAGCACAAAGUGGUCU
ensembl:lncRNA